UACGUAGGGGGCAAGCGUUGUCCGGAUUUAUUGGGCGUAAAGAGCGUGUAGGCGGCCAGGUAGGUCAGCUGUGAAAACUCGAGGCUCAACCUCGAGACGUCGGUUGAAACCACCUGGCUAGGAGUCCGGAAGAGGAGAGUGGAAUUCCUGGUGUAGCGGUGAAAUGCGCAGAUAUCAGGAAGAACACCCGUGGCGAAGGCGGCUCUCUGGGACGGUACUGACGCUGAGGCACGGAAGGUCAGGGGAGCAAACGGG
rnacentral:rRNA from 1 species